UACGUAGGGGGCGAGCGUUGUCCGGAAUGACUGGGCGUAAAGCGUGCGUAGGCGGCCUUACGCGUCUGAGGUUUAAGACCACGGCUCAACCGUGGGGGUGCCUUGGAAACGGUGAGGCUUGAGUGCUGGAGAGGCAAGGGGAAUUCCACGUGUAGCGGUGAAAUGCGUAGAGAUGUGGAGGAAUACCCGUGGCGAAGGCGCCUUGCUGGACAGUGACUGACGCUGAGGCACGAAAGCGUGGGGAGCAAACAGG
rnacentral:rRNA from 1 species